rnacentral:lncRNA from 1 species
CGUGAGUCGGCUCCUGCUAAAACUUUGCCGUCGAGCUGCUUUUGGGUUCGUCGGGCUGCAGUUUCCAUAGAAGCAACUUAUCCCCGCGAUCAUCUUGUUGGGUGCACUUUGCAAGCUCAUUUCCCGUCUGAGUUUGCUCCGCCGCUCUCAGAUGCUGCAGCUGACACAUUUCCUCCCCGUGCACUUUGCACCCACCUCAUCCUUGCCCAGAUGCUCGGGGCUGAUUGUGCCUAAAGGGGGUUUCAUUGCGCUCCGCAGCUGCCUCGGGGGAAGGGAGCAUUAUAUAUUUAUUUUGAGUUCUGCUUUUCCCCUUCUCCAGCAGGCCUUCCUCACUGCCCCGGCCCGGCCCUGGCACAACGAAGCGGCCCCCAGCCCCCGCCUCGUGCCCGUCGUGUACGAGCUCUGCCGGUGACAUCGGGGCCCUGUCCGCGUGGGCGGCCCUGGGGAGCAGCAGUGGGGACCUCGCCCUGCUCCCAGGACUGCUCCUGGAUGCUCUGCCAUAGUGCAGAGCCCCCGGGGUCUCGCCGGCGGCAUCCUGCUCCCCGUCACCGCUGCCCGGUGCUUUCAGCCACCUCGUUUGGCCACGUGGUGCACAUUGCUUCCACGCUUCCAUUCUGAACCUCCUGCUGCGUCCCAAGGACGGCUGCCCCCUUCAUCCUCGCUUCUGAAAUGCUCCUUUGCCCAUGGCUACGUUCCCCUGUCCCCAGAGCCACCUCUCAUGGAUCCCGCAUCCCUAAUUCUCAGUAGUACCACUGCUUCCCCAAAUCCCACUUUGCUGCAGCAGGUCUGGGCAAUCCCCAGCAUGUGGUCACACCUUUGCUAGGUCCCUUUUCCAAACUCCAUACUCUUCUGUGCCUUCUUUGCAGAUGCCAUGGAUCUGCCCCGGCAAGACCUUCCCCCACUAUGCUUUUGAAUAACGUUGCUUUUGUAUGGCGAUGUUUGCCUUCAUCCCCACUUCUGCACAUCCCUCUGCUGCUGCUGUUGUAUUCCCAAGCUUGGAGGCUUGCGAGGUAUUGUACCGAAACAUACACGUUUUGUCAUUUCUUCCUGGACAUCUGUGUUUUGGGCAGCCAACGCUGGGCUACAGGAUGGACGGGUGUCUGUUCUGACUGAGCUCUGACGUGCUUAUUGCUUUAUGGUCACGCUCCCAGCUCUGCAGGAAUGCCUUUUUACUCAAACUGUAUUUUCUAGCACCACCCUGUGAAGAGGAGCGGUGUUGUUUUGCAGUCACGAAGUCCAAGUUCACACACUUCAGUUCUGAUGUUUCUUCUGUCAUGUAGGGUUUCUGGUCUCUGCAGCGGGACCGGUGCCCCGAAGGCAUUUCUGUGUGUGUUAACUGCCACCUGCAAAGGGCUGUUGCUGAGCUGAUGCUACUGGAAGAAUGUUGCCACGAAAUCCAUCUGAAGGCAACAGCUCUCUGGCAUAGGAAGUGUUACUGGUGGGAGGUGUGUUAGAUCUGACUAUUAACUCUUGCCUAUUUACCCCAAAGCAACUUGAUGGUUUUUUUUAAUCUCUUAAGUAUGGGAUAAUUCCCACUAAUUUCUUGUCUGUGCUUUAGCUAAGUGUCUCUAGAAAUGCUUGUAGGGAACCAGUUGGGUGGCUCUGUAAGUUCUGUGAUUGCGCUAAAAGUGGGGAUCAAACAAUUCCCUUCUUACAUAGGAGAUGGUCUUCAGCUACCCUGGCUCGCCCAGUGAUACUUCUAAAUUUGUAUUUAAAGUAGUAAAUGUUGCAAAUUUUACACCCCUCCACAAUUCCCUGCAAGAUCCCCUUAGGAUAGAAAGGAGAGUGGAGCUGGUGCUGAGGUUACUGACAGCACCUCACCUGCACUGAGGAGCAAACCGAGGAUUAAAGAUGGGCUUGUGCCUGUGUUAGUCACCUGCCCAGCUGCUCCAGCUCCCUCAGCCUCUCUGUUUGGCCUGACUUUGGUUUGCAGGCACAGAACUGUGUGAAUAAGGUCACAAAAUGCUCACGUUCAUUUCACUGGGUAAAGGAAGGAUUGGAAACUGCAUCGGUGGGUGAAGAUGUUAAUACCUGUUCCAGGUCGGGUCUCCACCCCCAGCUGUCUUACAGCUUAAAUCUUAUGAUGAUUAUGAGGAUAGCUACCUUUGUAUAGAAUACUCUGUGCAUUUGUUGUUACUCAGUAGUAAUAAUGUUUCAUGAACAUAGGGGAGGAAUGAAGUCUGCGCCGCAGCUGUUGUUGGUGAAUCCAUUAUCCUGCCUUCCUUCCCAGCACUUCACCUACGGGAUGAAAAGCCUUGUACUGUUAAGUAAGCAGUGUUGAUCCAGUGGUUUACUGAAGCUGUUGGUGGUUCUGUUGGGAGAGGGCCCACAGCAUUCUCAGUGCUUUUUAGCUAAUGCAUAGAGCAAAAUAUUUUACAAUCAUUCCGCUCAGGUUUGGGUGCUGGAAACGCAACGGAACAAGAUGUGUGCAGUGAAUCCCAGAUGCGCCCUCUGAAGUCCCACUGAACCACAUGAGUUCUGGAGUUUCUUAGGCUGUAAAAACUUUGCUUCUCUACGGACCCGGAAUCUGUGUUAUCUAGGUUAAGCUGACUUUCUUAGCCACUGUCUGCUGCAUUAACCCAACUGGGAAUCACAAAAUAGGUACGUGUCUAAGUCUCUGGAGAGGCCUGGUCCAGGAGGUGUGCUCAGAUCAUGCUUAAAUGCACAUUGACAGCGUGGAGCUUAGCACAAAGCACAGCAGCUGUAGCUGCUGGAAAGUUUAAGGGGGAGAGAGGGAAAAGAACUGCUUCGCUUUUAGAAAUUGUUUUUCUCGUGAGAGCACUUGCCCUGGAAGUGAGAGAUUCAAUACUCUCCUCAUUAGAGAGGUGUUACGAACUCCCUCCCGCUUGUAAAGCACCCCCAACGACCAAAGAUAAGGCUGAGGUGGAGGAUACCCACCCAUCCUGUUGAAGCUUGCCGCUGUAAAGAAAAGGAUGCAAAUUUCAAAGGGCCAGAGGGAUUACAAACAAGAGGGAGCCUGUCACUGUAGCUCUGGGGCAAAGGCAUCUCUUGGAUGGCAAGAAGCUCGAAUGCCAGGCCUGGCCUGGCAGGCUCACCCAUUCUUGAGGGUGAGGUUCAUCUCACCUUAUCUUAUUUACUUAGAAGUUUGAUGUCUUGUCUCUCCACAGUCAGUGAGAAGAGAGAACAAGAGACACCUGCAGAGAAUGAUUCAUUCUGUGCCUGUUCGACACCGCUCUGGAUGGAACAAGUCUCCUUGCUGGGUGUUGUCUCUCCCCAUCAAUUCUCAGCAGAAGCUAGACAACCAGUUCUGACCAGAAGCCUGACUUACGGGUGCCACGUGAGAUGAAUUGUACCACAGAUGACUAAUUUUUCUCAUUCAUCAUACCUGCUUUUGGCCUAUAGAAGUUGGGUCAUCAAGGAAGAUAUUGAAGAGGACAGGCCCCAGUACCGACCCCUGAGGAACACCACUCGUGAUCAGUCGCCAGCUGGAUUUAACUCCAUUCACCACCACUCUGUGGGCUCAGCCCUCCAGCCAGUGCUUUACUCAGCAAAGAGUGUAUCUGACCAAGCCAUGAGAUGCCAGCUUCUCCAGGAGAAUACUGUGGGAGACAGUGUCAAAGGCUUUGCUGAAGCCUCGGUAGACUGUAUUGACAUGCAUAAUAUAAUCACAGAAUCACCAAGGUUGGAAAAGACCUCCAAGAUCAUCUGUUCCAACCAUCCCUCUACCACCAGUAUUUCCUGACUAACCCAUACAGAUGGACUAUGCCAGAGUUGGUUCUCAGACUUUCUAGACAACUAAAAACUAUGUUUUUCUUUGUUUUAUGUUUUUCUGUGGGAGUUGACACAUUUUAGGUAAAAUACUUGAAACAGAGAGAAAAUGAGCAGUGAUUAACGCACUUUCACCAAGAACGUAUUCUUGUUAUGGUCUUGUGGAGUACUGGAGAUUUACAGAGCACAAUGUGUAACCUCUAGGCCAAAUGCUCGUAGUUGUAAGCUUUAUGCAUUUCUGAGCCAUAGUUCAGCCUGUUGUUGGAUGUGGUAAUCUUUGAUUAUGGGACUGCUUAUUCAUUUGCUGAAAAGAUGUGACUUAUGUAGUUGAGAGAGACUGUCUUCAGUGGAAGCCUUGCCUCAGUUAUUGUAAGAAGAGGCAAGAUACACCCAUAAAACUGCUGAAUUCUGCUGUGGAGGAAUUAAUUCAAUCCAUGUGUCUGCCACAAUGUUUUUUUUGUGAGAUGAUAGUGAUGGACAAGUCACUUCAAGCAGAAUUUGGUCAGGAGACUGUUUAGCACAUGGGAAGUCAGUGGGAGUUGUUCUUAAAUAUCUUAAGUGUAAUGAAAAUGCCAAGCACUAUGAAGUAACAGGUCCAAGCUAUCACAAGCUUGGCAGCCAGAACUGGAGUUAUUAACCAGUAUGUUUUCUGGUCAGCUGCUUCACAAAUAACCAUUGUCUUAAAGUUAACAGAUUAUCAUUUUUUCCUUGAAAAGUGAAUGCCCCUUUUGAGGGUAGGACAGAGUAUAUUCUAGUGAGUGGUUCAUGAGUUGACAGAUGCUUAUUGUAAUAAGUGACAUCCCAAUUUCCAGUCAGCUUUUUGGAGACUGCAGAUGGAUUUUAGCUCCUGGUCUCCAACCAGGAGCUCACAGUUGGUGCAGAGCUGGUGAGGUGACCGCCAGGAACCAAGUGAAGCCGGCAGAGAGUGAGAGAAGAAAGAUAACACCGGCUUGGUUGGAUGGGGCUGGAGGACCAGGGAAGGUACCAAUCACAGCUGAGUGAGGCCUUGGAGCCUGAAGAAGGAGGUCUAAAGAUUAAAGGGGAACAGGAGAGAAGGAAAAUUCAAGAUUCAUAUCCCUUACCAUUUCUUCUUCUUCUUCUUUUUAAAUUUUCAUUUGAAAUUAAGAACUAAAAUAAGGAACAAUGCUCAGAAAGUGAAUGCUUCUGGAGACAUUUCUUGUGUGUCUGUGCCCUUUUAUAGGUACAACAACGUAUGGUGCUUUUCACCCUAAAUCUCCUGACUUCUGGGACACAAGCUCGAGAUUGAUGCCAUGAGGUCUAUAUUAACCAUCACAUAAGUGGAAGUCUCUGGAAGAGACUCCAGAGCUGGUAGUUUGGGGCGUUCAUCUGAAACACUGGGAAUUACCAGUUGUGGUGUGAACUAGAGAAAAACAGGCUACAAAGUGUUGGUCAUUGGCAGACCUUUUAAACAUCAGGUCACUUCUCUGAGAAUUUCCUCAGGAAAUGUUCAGAAUAUUCUUGGGUUUCUUCUGAACCAUGUCAGUAAGACAUCUGAAAUACUAACAAGUGCCACAAGGUGAGAAAAUCAUUCUUCCUGACCUGGAUCCAUUCAGUGCAGUUUGGGGUACAGGAUCUUUCCAUUACAACCAGCAUCACUUUGAAGUCAUAUCUGAUACAGAACUUCUGAAUAGUUGCUGGUAUUUGACUGUGUUUGCAGAAAUUGUUUAGUACACGGUGACUGUGUUCUGCUUCAGUGUUUUUUUGUCUAUUUUUAUGUGAGCUUCUGCUCUGUUUCUGAUAGCGUUUGUAUAGAUUCUAUCAAGGAAAACAAAUGUCAUGGGGAAGUUUUAGGUAAUUUUUUUGCUGUCGGGGUGUUUUUUGUUUUUUUUUUUCCUUCUGUAAUGCAGAUGUUCCUAUUUUAAACCUGGUAAAGGCAUUUCCAUCUGAGACGGUGAUACUCUGCUUUGUACACAGAGCAGAGAGAACAGAAACACACCUUUCAAAUUGGCUCAGGGAGCAAUGUGCAGUAUACCAAUUGCUCUCUUUUCCACUGCUGUGGACAUUCCUCUGCAGGAUAAGCAGGCUGCCCAUGUGGUUGCACAGGAGUGGCUGUGCAAAUGACAUGAAACAGGCUGUAGAUACUCCUUUGGUGGAGACCCAGUAAUCUUGAUGUUUUACACACGUGGGGCCUGAUGAAGAGAUGGUAAAACCCAGGGAGACUUUCCCCAUCAGCCUCACAGCUUUGAAUUCAGUUUCAGGUGCAGUUGAGGAUGUAUAUGAAGUAUACAGCUGGGAUUUGGCUGGGAGAACACUUGCCUGUGAGAGUGGAGAGGGAAUUUUUUUCACUGCUCUGGGGUGGUGAGUGAAUUUUAUCUAACACCUUCCACUUGCCUGUAGCCACGUUCAUAGAGCCAUAGAAUGUUCUAUACUGAUUCUGCCCCCAGACUGUAAAGAACAAGAUAAUAACUUUAUUUUAUGUACUGGAGAGCUAAAUUGUUUUCAAAGUCUUAGUUUAGCAGGCAAAGAUGAAUUUAUUUGCCAAAGACGUUCAGAAGCAGCUUGGGAAACUCUGCCAGAGCCCAGCUUUAACCACUAACUGGUGGCUGUUGUACUUAAUAGCUGUCAGGCAUGCUUGCAGUGUGAGGGAGACUGGCACAAAAUCCAGGAUAUAGGGGAUUUUCCUCCAAACAACAGCAAGUGCAAUCAAUUCACAAAUCGUAUAGUUGAAUAAGAAGAAAACCUGCAUCUGCAGCCACUUGCAUGUUGCAUCCCUUACUGGCUCUGCUCCCGUACCUGGGACGAGAAACAACCUUGCUCUUGUUUCACACUCUUUAUCCGUUCUAUCCAGCUCUAUUAACUUAGCGCACUGCUGAACAUUACCUUUGCUCUGCUUGCACUGCUGGCCUUUGCCAUCCUUUUCCCACCUAGAUAUCUUCGUGCUUUCCUGCAUCCUAACCUCCAUGUGUGGAACAAAGUCUGGAAAAUUCUCUCCAUCUGCUCUUCUUCAGAUCAUUCUGGCAGAUGCACUUCGACCCUGAUGCCUGUGGGGCACUGCUGAUAAUGGCCAGAGUGCAAGUUACAUUGUUUUCUAGCCAGCCAAUGUGAAAACACGUUCGUGUUAUUUCUACUGUGGUUUUCAUAUCAACCCCUUUCCUGCCAGGGAGGACAAAGCCAUAAUGCCUUUUUAGUAAUGGCCAACUGUCUUUGGAAGCUGACACAGAUAAGAGCGGCUCUCAGCCCACAAGUUGUUACCUUCCUUCUCCUCGAGUCACAGCUCCACCAGUUUGCUUUUAGCCAUCGUAUUCAUUUUGUUCUCCUUGACUUCUGCCCAUCUGUGAAUGCAGCUCUCUGGCCUCACCAAGGGACUAUGUCAGCAUCCACCCUUUCAGAAUAUGUUAACAGGUCUUGGCUCCAACCAGCAAAGGUCGUUUUUUUGGGGGGUGGCUUUCUUGCAUACGCAGCCACGGAGCCCUUUACAGAGUGACAAAAAGACUUCCUUCCCAUUUGCUAUUACUCACCUAACUGUGUUUGGAAGGGGCGGGCAUCCUAGCUAAUCAGAGCUUCAGACAGGCAAUUCCUCAAAUUGUUUUAGGGUUUUUAAUUAAAACUGUAGGCUUCAGCACCACAUGGCAGAGAGCCAGAAGCAGUCAUCUGACAAUAGCCUUCACCAUCUACCAACAAUAAGGGAAUUCCUAAGUGUACGCUCGGGAGGCUUCUGAAAUGCUGUGAACGGCUGAGAUUGGUGUUUGCAAAGCACCCUGCAACAUUUGGCCUUGCAGGUCUGCCGAUUUUUACAUGAUAUAAACAAAACCCUAUAAUCUCCACCCAGCACAGAGAUACUGACUUGUGUUUAUACUGUCCAGAUCACAGAUGCUGAGCAUGAAUGCAUGAGCAGUCCUUUUGUAUGGUGUUUGACACUUUCUGUGGCUGUCUGCGCUGUUUUUUAAUAUACAGAAUCCCCGGUUCUCCACUGCCUUGCACCCUGUCUAUUCAUUCUCACCCCUGUGAAGUGAGGGUAAAACACUAUCAAAACAAAAUGGUACCACUUUGCAUGUUUUCCACUCAGUUUGUACAGGUGUAAAUGACUACAGAAAGAACAGGGCAGAGCAGAACCUGACCCGCAGUCUGUCUCUCCAUGCGUCAGGGGUCCUGAAGUGGGGUAUGACAGAACAAACACAAGCUGUUACCUUGCCAGUUUUGCUUUUUUGUUUGCUUUUUGGUGUUGUUGUUUAAAAUCAGGCAGCUUGCAGGGAUGACAGAUGCAAAAGUCGGGCAGUACUUGGUUCCUGUAGUCCUCACGUGACGUCUUCUCAUCGAGUAACGAAAGUGUUACCCGUGGCAGAGGUAGGUGGGCAUGAUUACUGGUAUGGGAGCAUGAUUGUCAAUGUGAGUAAGCUCUGAGUAGUUGAGCUGUUGCAGUUAGAGAGAAAAAUCCUCCUUGUUCUUUCUGUUGCUUGUUACGUUACCUUAGCUCUUAUAAACUAUUACAAAGGAGGCUGAACUCUCCAAGCUGGGUCCUGGAAAAGAGUGGCACUCAAUUUUUAGAUGUAGUCAUUACUCUUUUUGUCCUUGUAGCAGCAGAAGGCUAUACCCAUCCUAAGUCAUCUUAAAUCAUCUUCUGAUACUGCUUAACACAUCUCUGCAGGCACGCACUUGAACCUUCUUCCAAAAGAAACGGUGGCUCCUUUCUAUGCUCUCUACACAAAACCCAGCUCUCUGGCUCUUGCCCUACUUUCCUCAGCAGCGCACCAGACCGUCCAAGCCCAAGUCUCUGUUUUCACCCAGAGAGAGAAUUUACUUAUGACACAUAGAUAUCAUUAUCACUCCUUUGCUGGAUGUUUCCCAUAAAUACAGAUCCUGCCUAUUCCUAGGCCCUGGACUACCCUAAACUUUCUCUUUGUUUGUCUGAUUUUUUUACCUCCAGAAAUCCUGUCCGGUUACAACUGUCCAAAUCCUUCAGCUCACACCAUUACCUGCUAGCUUGCCUUCACUUCUAAGGAGCCCAGGCACACGUCUCUGCUGUGGUUGCAGUUAAGGUGGCUAAGUAGCUAAAUGGGAGUGAACUCAAGUGUCCUUUUGUUGGCGCACCUCUGACUGUUAGCUGAUCAGUUGUAGGGGGGCUAAAAUUUGUGUGCUGAUAGAAAAUUAAGCACAUUGUAAAAGAUGUAUGUAAACAAACUGGAAAGAAGAGAAAGUAGAAGCUAGGUACCCAAUCCAGCUACGAGCUCUCCUGAACACUGCAGGAUCAGGUCUUAUAAAGGAAGCACUACCUCUUCCAUUAAUGACAGCAUCAUUAGCAGCGCAGAUAUAUAGAUCUCUUAAAUUAAUAGUGCAGCAGAUUGCUCCUGCUGCACUUAAGAAGCAGUUCAAUGUAACAACCACAAACUAAAAUAUUACCAAGUUUGUGAACUUCAAAGCAAACUUUCCUUCUUUUUAAAGAGUUUUACAGAACAGCUGAGCAUAUUUUCUCCUACCUCAUCUUUAAAGAAAUUACAAAAGAAUGUAUACAGCAGGCCUGAAGUUCCUGCCAGUCCUUCAUCUUGCUUUUCUUGGCAUAUUGGUAGGGAAUCUGGACACUGAAAUUUACUCUUAAUGAGGACCUUGUUUUACGGAUGUGUUCUUGUUCUGUGCAGUAACGCUUAUCUGAACUGCUUGUUCUCUUAUGGAGGGCCAAAAAAGAUACCUUGAAGAUAAACACUGAAGUAAUGAGUCAAAAUGCUUAUUUAUUUAUUUAUUUAUUUAUUUAGUUUGGGAAGUAUAGCUGGUCAUUAAUCCAGUUGAAUUCCCUUAUCGAUGUACGUAUUGGUUGAUUUUAAGUUUACGAUAUAUCCACAGUCUUCUGCAAUCUUCAUUUCAAGGAUUGGUGAACUGAGAGAAAAAAGGUGUGUUUUCUUUGGCUUGUGAUGGAUUAAACAUAGAGGCAGCAAAUAUUAGGUAGGUUUUGGUCAACGUAAAUGAAAGCUGCAGGCAGUAGUUUAAAUGGGAACAGUGAUUUAGCUGAAGUGUACCUGAACAGGAACUGAAGGUGGAAAGCAAGAAUGCGAAGAAGUGGCCAGGGCAGCAACUGUGCUGUGGAGCAAAUGAAGAGAAGCUGAAAACACUUACCUAGAAAUGAAAAAAUAACCCCAACUAACUAGCAACCAGCAAUAGGCAAGAGGGAUUAAAGCAAGCGAGAGAAAGCCCAGAUAUGCAGAAAUACAUUAUGCUUACUGCUGAUUGCCAAGAAUCAUUAAGUGACUGUCAUUGAAUGCUGGACUAAAAGCAAGGGAGAUGAAAAGUCAGAGCCUCUUUGAUGGGAG